rnacentral:rRNA from 1 species
AUACAUGCAAGUCGAGCGGACCGACGGGAGCUUGCUCCCUUAGGUCAGCGGCGGACGGGUGAGUAACACGUGGGUAACCUGCCUGUAAGACUGGGAUAACUCCGGGAAACCGGGGCUAAUACCGGAUGCUUGAUUGAACCGCAUGGUUCAAUCAUAAAAGGUGGCUUUUAGCUACCACUUGCAGAUGGACCCGCGGCGCAUUAGCUAGUUGGUGAGGUAACGGCUCACCAAGGCGACGAUGCGUAGCCGACCUGAGAGGGUGAUCGGCCACACUGGGACUGAGACACGGCCCAGACUCCUACGGGAGGCAGCAGUAGGGAAUCUUCCGCAAUGGACGAAAGUCUGACGGAGCAACGCCGCGUGAGUGAUGAAGGUUUUCGGAUCGUAAAACUCUGUUGUUAGGGAAGAACAAGUACCGUUCGAAUAGGGCGGUACCUUGACGGUACCUAACCAGAAAGCCACGGCUAACUACGUGCCAGCAGCCGCGGUAAUACGUAGGUGGCAAGCGUUGUCCGGAAUUAUUGGGCGUAAAGCGCGCGCAGGCGGUUUCUUAAGUCUGAUGUGAAAGCCCCCGGCUCAACCGGGGAGGGUCAUUGGAAACUGGGGAACUUGAGUGCAGAAGAGGAGAGUGGAAUUCCACGUGUAGCGGUGAAAUGCGUAGAGAUGUGGAGGAACACCAGUGGCGAAGGCGACUCUCUGGUC